GGACCAUCGCUGUAUGUCAUCGUGGCGGAAGUACAACUGUAAUUUCUUCUGUGUCUCUGUCAGUGUGUUCCUCCCUGAUGUGUAACACUGAGGAAGAAGCUAUAAAAGGAGAAGUGCAGCUGAAGCACAGCGGAUGAUCAGACAGGAAGGCACUGAACCGAUAUUUGUACCAGACUACCAGCGUGAUCAGAGGAGGAAGAAGACGGUAAAAUGUCUGCUGGAACAUCUGAGUUCUUCUGUCUGAUCUGUUUCCUGGUCUGUUCCUGUACAGCUCAGGCAAAAAUCUCAGCUGAUCUUGGACAUAAUGUCACUCUACCAUGUGAAGUUCCCAACAAUGACGACAUCACAGCUGUAGAGUGGAGGAGACCUGAUCAGGAUCCAGAAUAUGUUCUUUACUACAGAGAUGGACAGUUUGAUCCAGACAACCAGCAUCAAUCUUAUAAAAACCGGGUGGAUCUGCAGGACAAAGAGAUGAAGGAUGGAAAAGUUUCUCUGGUUCUGACGGAUCUGAUGAAGAACGACACUGGAACAUACGAGUGUCUUGUUUUCCAGGGAGGAAAUAAUGAACCCAUCAGCAUCAUCAACCUGGUAGUUCUUGAACCAGGAAACAAGGAUAGAAACAGUAGAGGACAUUGUGUCGUUGUGACUGAGGCACUUCUUCUUCUUGCUGUGUUGGCUUCUGUUGAGUUUUUCAAUCAAUAGACGACACACGAGGAAGAAUCCAAACCUCCCAGUUCCUCUUGAUGAAGCAGCAGCUGAAAAGAUGUUAUGAAACAAAGACAUGAAAGUUUUUCUGAACAGCAUCAGAACAAACCAGAGCUUGUGUAACUUUGAUGGAAGCAGCAGCAGCAGAACUAAGAGAAUCCAGGUGUGGACCAACCAUGUGGUCUCUCCUUUAGCUGCCACCUUAUGGUGGUGGAGGGUUUGUGAGCUCAGAGGAUGCUGGGAGCUCUGCUGUCUGGAGUUCAGCUCCUGCUAGGGUUUCUAUUGGCAGACUGGUCCAGAAACAUCAGGGUAAACAUUGUACCAUAUCAUCACUUAUUUAACAUGUAAACACUUAUACUAAUAGAAUGAACUGAGUUACUUCACAGAAAUGAUUGACUGUUUUCCCUAUAACACACUGGAACUAAUGAAUUUUACAGUAAAGAAUUCAUUUUACUGCUGUUUUUUCACUUCUGCUUUUAUUCUAAACUGUUACAUUGUCUAGUACUAACUUGUCUUCUGAACAAUACCAAUAAAGUUGAGUCUAACCAGUGAUCUGUGGUUCAUUAUAAUUUCUAUGUAGAAUUUUAAAGCUGGUUUCUUCUCUGCAGAAGUGAUAAUAAAGGUUGUUUCUCCAGAUUCUGA